rnacentral:rRNA from 1 species
AGUGAACGCUGGCGGUAGGCCUAACACAUGCAAGUCGAACGGCAGCACACUAAUUUCUUGCUCUUACCGGUUGCGAGUGGCGUACGUGUGAGGAAUACAUCCUAAUCUACUUUUUCGUGUGGGUUAACGUAGCUAAACUUACUCUAAUACCGCAUACGCCCUACCGUUGAAAGCAUUGGAUCUUCUCACCUUUCGCGUUUGAAUUAGCCGAUGUCGGAUUUGCUAGUUGGCGGGUUAAAGGCCCACCAAGGCGACGAUCCGUAGCUGGUCUGAGAGGAUGAUAAGCGACACUGGAAGGGAGACACGGACAAGAGGACUAAGGGAGGCAGCAGUGGGGAAUAUUGGACAAUGGGGGGAAGCAUGAUACAACAGUAGCGAGUGGGUGAAGAAGGCGUUGGGGUUGUAAAGCCCUUUUGUGGGGAAAGAAAAGCAGCAGGUUAAGACGAAGCUGGUGUGACGGUAACGAAAGAAUAAGCACCGGCUAACUACGUG